rnacentral:lncRNA from 1 species
AGUCUGAAAGUAACUUCCGUCCUGCAAAGCCCCUGGGUAAGCUGGAUGUGAAUGGUGCAUAAGAAACAAGCCUUGUGGAAGGAAUCCCAGAAAAGUGGCGGAAGUUCUGAUGGAUUAGUUCACUGGAUUCACUGACACAUGAUGCUUGCAAAGGAACUGGAGGCCAGAUAAGUGUGGCAAGACUGACUUGAAGACAAGAAAACAGGUUAUUUAAGGUUUGGGACCAUGACUUGUUUGACAGUCUUCACAAAUUACAACAUCUCAGGCAGAGUUUUGUUCUAUUUGAAAAUCAUUAUGGACUACAAAUGUGAUCAGGAAGGUAUGCUAACCCAGUAUAUCAUUUAUCCUUCUCAUUCAGCUUCAUAAAAGAAACUCCCAGGUUCUUGUAAUGCCAGGACAUGGGAAGGGGUAGGUUUGCUGCUGCUGGCUCUAUGUAAUCCAUCACUUGAAGAAGCCUAAAAUUCACCUCCUCAAUGAUGUCAACUAUAUUCAAAGGCAAGCACUACAAUAUUUAGGACAUGGAAGACAGGCUGCGGCUUUUCUCUAGAAGGGGGCUGUUGUGGGGAGACAUUUGCAGAGGAAGUGACUUCAAGGUGCAUGCUGAAGGAUGAAUCAAAUGAGGAAAUCAUCAGAACAAUGUGUACAAGAUGAAGAGACAG